CAGUAGCCACGGGAAUACAGAGGGUGCGAGCGUUAAUCGGAUUUACUGGGCGUAAAGCGUGCGUAGGCGGCUUUUUAAGUCGGAUGUGAAAUCCCUGAGCUUAACUUAGGAAUUGCAUUCGAUACUGGGAAGCUAGAGUAUGGGAGAGGAUGGUAGAAUUCCAGGUGUAGCGGUGAAAUGCGUAGAGAUCUGGAGGAAUACCGAUGGCGAAGGCAGCCAUCUGGCCUAAUACUGACGCUGAGGUACGAAAGCAUGGGGAGCAAACAGGAUUAGAUACCCCAGUAGUCCCUGUCUCUUAUAU
rnacentral:rRNA from 1 species